rnacentral:rRNA from 1 species
GACGAGGGGUCCAAGCGUUGUUCGGAAUCAUUGGGCGUAAAGCGGGUGUAGGUGGCUUUGUAAGUCAGGAGUGAAAUCCCCGAGCUUAACUUGGGAAGUGCUUUUGAAACUGCAGGGCUUGAGUGUGGGAGAGGGAUCGUGGAAUUCCAGGUGUAGUGGUGAAAUACGUAGAUAUCUGGAGGAACACCGGUGGCGAAGGCGGCGGAGUCUGGCCCAACACGUGACCACUGAGACCCGAAAGCCGUAGGGGAUCGGAAACAGA